rnacentral:rRNA from 1 species
UAGGGAAUCUUCCGCAAUGGACGAAAGUCUGACGGAGCAACGCCGCGUGAGUGAAAAAGGAUUUCGGUUCGUAAAACUCUGUUGUUAGGGAAGAAAAAAUGUAUAGUAACUAUAUACAAAAGAGACGGUACCUAACAAGAAAGCCACGGCUAACUACGUGCCAGCAGCCGCGGUAAUACGUAGGUGGCAAGCGUUGGCCGGAAUUAUUUGGCGUAAAGCGCGCGCAGGUGGUUUAGAAAGUCUGAUGUGAAAGCCCACGGCUCAACCGUGGAGGGUCAUUGGAAACUAAUAAACUUGAGUGCAGGAGAGAAAAGUGGAAUUCCUAGUGUAGCGGUGAAAUGCGUAGAGAUUAGGAGGAACACCGGUGGCGAAAGCGGCUAUUUGGCCUGCAACUGACACUGAGGCGCGAAAGCGGGGGGAGCAAACAGG